CUUUGAUCCUGGCUCAGGACGAACGCUGGCGGCACGCUUAACACAUGCAAGUCGAACGGAGAACAUUGAGCUUGCUUAAUGUUCUUAGUGGCGGACGGGUGAGUAACACGUGAGUAACCUGCCUCUGAGAGUGGGAUAGCUUCUGGAAACGGAUGGUAAUACCGCAUAACAUCAUGGAUUCGCAUGUUUCUAUGAUCAAAGAUUUAUCGCUUAGAGAUGGACUCGCGUCUGAUUAGCUAGUUGGUAAGGUAACGGCUUACCAAGGCGACGAUCAGUAGCCGGACUGAGAGGUUGAUCGGCCACAUUGGGACUGAGACACGGCCCAGACUCCUACGGGAGGCAGCAGUGGGGAAUAUUGCACAAUGGGGGAAACCCUGAUGCAGCGAUGCCGCGUGGAGGAAGAAGGUUUUCGGAUUGUAAACUCCUGUUGAAGAGGACGAUAAUGACGGUACUCUUUUAGAAAGCUCCGGCUAACUACGUGCCAGCAGCCGCGGUAAUACGUAGGGAGCGAGCGUUGUCCGGAAUUACUGGGUGUAAAGGGAGCGUAGGCGGGAUGGCAAGUCAGAUGUGAAAACUAUGGGCUCAACCCAUAGACUGCAUUUGAAACUGUUGUUCUUGAGUGAGGUAGAGGUAAGCGGAAUUCCUGGUGUAGCGGUGAAAUGCGUAGAGAUCAGGAGGAACAUCGGUGGCGAAGGCGGCUUACUGGGCCUUUACUGACGCUGAGGCUCGAAAGCGUGGGGAGCAAACAGGAUUAGAUACCCUGGUAGUCCACGCCGUAAACGAUGAUUACUAGGUGUGGGGGGACUGACCCCUUCCGUGCCGCAGUUAACACAAUAAGUAAUCCACCUGGGGAGUACGGCCGCAAGGUUGCAACUCAAAGGAAUUGACGG
rnacentral:rRNA from 1 species